rnacentral:tRNA from 1 species
GCGCCUGUAGCGUAACGGAUAACGCGUUGGCCUCCGAAGCCAUGUAUGGCAGUUCGAUUCUGCCCAGGCGCGCCA